rnacentral:rRNA from 1 species
GACAGAGGGUGCAAACGUUGUUCGGAAUUACUGGGCGUAAAGCGCGUGUAGGCGGCUAUGCAAGUCGGAUGUGAAAGCCCUCGGCUCAACCGGGGAAGUGCACCCGAAACUGCAAAGCUAGAGUCUCGGAGAGGAUCGUGGAAUUCUCGGUGUAGAGGUGAAAUUCGUAAGAUAUCGAGAGGAACACCGGUGGCGAAGGCGGC